rnacentral:tRNA from 1 species
GUCGGUGUGGCUCAGUUGGUUAGAGCGUUGGUCUCAUAUCUGAAUUCAGAUUGACCUGGUCAAACACCAGGGUCAUCCAAAGGUCGAGAGUUCGAGCCUCUCCACCGACA